UGCAAGUCGAACGGUGAAGCAGAGCUUGCUCUGUGGAUCAGUGGCGAACGGGUGAGUAACACGUGAGUAACCUGCCCUUGACUCUGGGAUAAGCGUUGGAAACGACGUCUAAUACCGGAUACGACCCUCAACCGCAUGGUUAGGGGGUGGAAAGAUUUUUUGGUCAAGGAUGGACUCGCGGCCUAUCAGCUUGUUGGUGAGGUAAUGGCUCACCAAGGCGACGACGGGUAGCCGGCCUGAGAGGGUGACCGGCCACACUGGGACUGAGACACGGCCCAGACUCCUACGGGAGGCAGCAGUGGGGAAUAUUGCACAAUGGGCGCAAGCCUGAUGCAGCAACGCCGCGUGAGGGAUGACGGCCUUCGGGUUGUAAACCUCUUUUAGUAGGGAAGAAGCGAAAGUGACGGUACCUGCAGAAAAAGCACCGGCUAACUACGUGCCAGCAGCCGCGGUAAUACGUAGGGUGCAAGCGUUGUCCGGAAUUAUUGGGCGUAAAGAGCUCGUAGGCGGUUUGUCGCGUCUGCUGUGAAAACUGGAGGCUCAACCUCCAGCCUGCAGUGGGUACGGGCAGACUAGAGUGCGGUAGGGGAGAUUGGAAUUCCUGGUGUAGCGGUGGAAUGCGCAGAUAUCAGGAGGAACACCGAUGGCGAAGGCAGAUCUCUGGGCCGUAACUGACGCUGAGGAGCGAAAGCGUGGGGAGCGAACAGGAUUAGAUACCCUGGUAGUCCACGCCGUAAACGUUGGGAACUAGAUGUGGGGACCAUUCCACGGUCUCCGUGUCGCAGCUAACGCAUUAAGUUCCCCGCCUGGGGAGUACGGCCGCAAGGCUAAAACUCAAAGGAAUUGACGGGGGCCCGCACAAGCGGCGGAGCAUGCGGAUUAAUUCGAUGCAACGCGAAGAACCUUACCAAGGCUUGACAUAUACGAGAACGGGCCAGAAAUGGUCAACUCUUUGGACACUCGUAAACAGGUGGUGCAUGGUUGUCGUCAGCUCGUGUCGUGAGAUGUUGGGUUAAGUCCCGCAACGAGCGCAACCCUCGUUCUAUGUUGCCAGCACG
rnacentral:rRNA from 1 species